UGGGGAAUAUUGCACAAUGGGGGGAACCCUGAUGCAGCAACGCCGCGUGAGUGAAGAAGGCAUUCGUGUCGUAAAACUCUGUAGUAGGGGAAGAAAGAAAUGACAGUACCCUAAAAGAAAGCCCCGGCUAACUACGUGCCAGCAGCCGCGGUAAUACGUAGGGGGCAAGCGUUAUCCGGAAUAACUGGGCGUAAAGGGUGCGCAGGUGGUUUAACAAGUUAGUGGUGAAAGGCAUAGGCUCAACCAAUGUAAGCCAUUAAAACUGUUUAACUUGAGUGCAGGAGAGGAAAGUGGAAUUCCUAGUGUAGCGGUGAAAUGCGUAGAUAUUAGGAGGAAUACCAGUGGCGAAGGCGACUUUCUGGACUGCAACUGACACUGAGGCACGAAAGCGUGGGGAGCAAACAGGAUUAGAUACCCUGGUAGUCCACGCCGUAAACGAUGAGUACUAGGUGUCGGGUGAAGAACUCGGUGCCGAAGUUAACACAUUAAGUACUCCGCCUGGGGAGUACGCUCGCAAGAGUA
rnacentral:rRNA from 1 species